GGGCUUCGCAGGCGGUUUCUUAAGUCUGAUGUGAAAGCCCCCGGCUCAACCGGGGAGGGUCAUUGGAAACUGGGGAACUUGAGUGCAGAAGAGGAGAGUGGAAUUCCACGUGUAGCGGUGAAAUGCGUAGAGAUGUGGAGGAACACCAGUGGCGAAGGCGACUCUCUGGUCUGUAACUGACGCUGAGGAGCGAAAGCGUGGGGAGCGAACAGGAUUAGAUACCCUGGUAGUCCACGCCGUAAACGAUGAGUGCUAAGUGUUAGGGGGUUUCCGCCCCUUAGUGCUGCAGCUAACGCAUUAAGCACUCCGCCUGGGGAGUACGGUCGCAAGACUGAAACUCAAAGGAAUUGACGGGGGCCCGCACAAGCGGUGGAGCAUGUGGUUUAAUUCGAAGCAACGCGAAGAACCUUACCAGGUCUUGACAUCCUCUGACAAUCCUAGAGAUAGGACGUCCCCUUCGGGGGCAGAGUGACAGGUGGUGCAUGGUUGUCGUCAGCUCGUGUCGUGAGAUGUUGGGUUAAGUCCCGCAACGAGCGCAACCCUUGAUCUUAGUUGCCAGCAUUCAGUUGGGCACUCUAAGGUGACUGCCGGUGACAAACCGGAGGAAGGUGGGGAUGACGUCAAAUCAUCAUGCCCCUUAUGACCUGGGCUACACACGUGCUACAAUGGGCAGAACAAAGGGCAGCGAAACCGCGAGGU
rnacentral:rRNA from 1 species